UGCCUUUGGGUUGCCAGUUACAGGGGACUCACCAACAUCCCAUUCCCAGUAUGUGCGCAAUCUGAAAGCUAGGCUUGAGGAAAGUUACCAGAUUGCACUCGAAAACUCCAAGAGAGUUGCUGAGCGAAACAAGAACAGGUUUGAUAAAAAAGUCAGAGAGUCCACACUUCAAGCUGGGGACAGAGUCUUAGUCAAGAACGUUCGUUUGCGCAGUAAACACAAACUUGGCAAUAAAUGGGAACACAUGGUGUACCGUGUUGUUAAGAAACUGGAAAAUGUUCCUGUGUAUGUGGUCCAACCGGAGAAGGGUGGUGGUCCGAGCAGGACUCUUCAUCGAGACCUUUUACUUGCAUGUGGUGAUCUCUCAGACAUUGAGGAUGAGGUUGAGACAAAGCCCAAACCUCCACGUCGACCUAAGACUCGGCAGAGCCCUUCUGAACCUAAAGAUACAGAAAUGUCAGAGUCUGAGGAGGAGUAUGAAUGCAUUUCAGGUCAUCCCUCAAUCCAAACCGAGACGUUUAUCAGGAUUUGUGACCAAACUCAAAACCAUUCCAAUGUGCAAAAUGAGACAACAAGCUCCGAAAUUCAAAAUGAUCCAUGUACGCUCGAAAGUGACAACUCUUUGCUUCAACCAAUAGAGACAAUCUCGGACAAGAAUGACCAUGGACAGGGAAAUCAAACUGAACCUGAACUGCUGAAUGAGGAAUCUCACUCUAACAUCAUGGGAGAGAAUCAUAAUGUCCAAGUUCCAGGAGAACCAGAUGUUGAGAUAGAAAACACAGAGCAUAGUGAAAAUAUCACCGACCAACAUGCUGAACAAACACCUGAAAUAACUCCUGAAACACCUCAAGUGAGAAAAUCUGAGAGAUUAAAGCGACCCCCAGGACGGUUUCAUUACCCCCAGUUGGGUCAACCCCUUAUAUCCUUUGCACAACGAUUUCUGGAUAACUUUAACCAAGCUCUUGAGUCGUUUAGUAGCUAUGAAAACACUCAAAUCUAUGAUGUUUAGAUACAUUUUAAGUACAUGAAGGGACUCAUGUUUAUUCAAAGGGGGAGGGUGUAACCCCUAUAGACAUGGUUACUAGUAUUUUCUUGUUUUUACCUGGUAAUAUUAUUUCCGACACCCCUUGAACACACUUUGAUUUUCCGUAGUUCAGUGAAUGCAACAAAAGCACGUUGCUGCAUUAAGCUAGGCAAAACGGAGCAAGACACCGAGAGCAAAUAACAAGCUACACAAGGCCUUUAUGUGUUUUACUCUCGACCAAAACCAGGCAGAGCGUGUAUUUGUUUCUUGGGAAUUCCGACUGGUUUUUUGUGAUCCUGGAUCUGAAGUGGUUCUGGAUAUGGAUGGCGAGCCAGACCCUGUGAAAACUCUUGGCGAAUCCAAAAGCAGUGUGGCCAGCUGUUCUGGAUGCAGGAGUAGAGCUACAGUCUGAAUUACUUCGAAUCGCAGGAUUUCAGAUAAGCAAGAACAAAAACUGCUUACUUGAUACGGAUUGUUUCUCUGGGAAACUAUUGAACUCCCAAUAUCCUGCUCAUCAGGAGUCAGGUCUAAAGAGACUACUUAUUUUAUUUUAUUUUGUUGUUAUUUUCAAAAGAGCGCUCUUCUCUGUUGAUCUUCUGUUAAUUUUCUAUGCUGUUUACAUUGGAUUAUUGCACCACUGUAACAUUGUAAUAAAUCUGCCGGCUGUUCAACACUCAA